UCGAACGCGAAAGUCCCCUUCGGGGGGCAAGUAGAGUGGCGCACGGGUGAGUAACACGUAGGUAAUCUACCUUUGGAUGGGGAAUAACAACCGGAAACGGUUGCUAAUACCGCAUAAUGCAGCGGCACCUAAUGGUGACAGUUGUUAAAGCGGGGGAUCGAAAGACCUCGCGUCUAAAGAGGAGCCUGCGGCGGAUUAGCUAGUUGGUAAGGUAAUGGCUUACCAAGGCCACGAUCCGUAACCGGCCUGAGAGGGCGGUCGGUCACACUGACACUGACAUACGGGUCAGACUCCUACGGGAGGCAGCAGUCGGGAAUUUUGGGCAAUGGGCGAAAGCCUGACCCAGCAACGCCGCGUGAAGGAUGAAAUCCCUCGGGAUGUAAACUUCGCAAGAACGGGAAGAAUAAGUAGGGGACAAUACCCCCUAUGAUGACGGUACCGUUUGUAAGCUCCGGCUAACUCCGUGCCAGCAGCCGCGGUAAUACGGGGGGAGCAAGCGUUGUUCGGAUUUACUGGGCGUAAAGGGCGCGUAGGCGGUCAGCACAAGUCAGUUGUGAAAUCUCCGAGCUUAACUCGGAAAGGUCAACUGAAACUGUGCGACUAGAGUGCAGAAGGGGCAACUGGAAUUCUUGGUGUAGCGGUGAAAUGCGUAGAUAUCAAGAGGAACACCUGCGGCGAAGGCGGGUUGCUGGGCUGACACUGACGCU
rnacentral:rRNA from 1 species